rnacentral:rRNA from 1 species
GCGUGAGUGAAGAAGGCCCUAGGGUUGUAAAACUCUUUCACCCGCGAAGAUGAUGACGGUAGCGGGAGAAGAAGCCCCGGCUAACUCCGUGCCAGCAGCCGCGGUAAUACGGAGGGGGCGAGCGUUGUUCGGAAUUACUGGGCGUAAAGGGCGCGUAGGCGGGACGUCAAGUCAGGGGUGAAAGGCCUGGGCUCAACCUGGGAACUGCCCUUGAAACUGAGGUUCUGGAGUCCGGGAGAGGAUGGCGGAAUUCCCAGUGUAGAGGUGAAAUUCGU